AGGCUUCCGUCUGGCUGGCUCUCCCGAAAGAAACGUCACGAAAGAGGAACCGUUUGGCCAACGUCGGAACUGGAGCACCUGUUGGAGAUUCGGGAAAAUCGCCAGCGCUCGAGGCGAUGUCCAAGCGACGGCCGGACGCCAUAAUUAAAAAAGCGGAUGGAUUUUGGUGUCCUCUGUUCGUCACGCUACUGCCUUUAGGAGGCGCUUGGUAAAUAUCGUCGCCUUCCGUUCGACCUUCGUGGAAGUGGAAGUCCUCUCUGCGUAUUCUUGAUAUCUCGAAUGGAUCGCCCAUUGUCUCUCCGGAAGCUUGGAGUUUCUCGGCGUUGCUGACUAAACGCGCCACUGCAUUGUCCAUGGCGAUCUGGAGUAAACGGUACAAUAAUUUAUUUCACAAUGGUACGAUUUCGAAGUUCGUUAUUUCGGAAACGCUUACCGAGUAUCCGCGACCGACGAGAGCAUCGGCCAUAGCCAAGCGACCAUCCGCGUCCGUAUUCGAGACACGUACCCUGACGCCGGACUUAGCGGUGAUCACCUCGUCGGCGACGUAGGAAUUCUCACCGAUGCUGUUCCGUACCACGCACAGAGCCACCACA